rnacentral:rRNA from 1 species
GACGAACGCUGGCGGCAGGCCUAACACAUGCAAGUCGAGCGGAGCGGCGGACGGGCGAGUAAUGCCUGGGAAUCUGCCUGGUAGUGGGGGAUCACGUCCGGAAACGGGCGCUAAUACCGCAUACUAUCAGAUGAGCCUAGGUCGGAUUAGCUGGUUGGUGGGGUAAAGGCCUACCAAGGCGACGAUCCGUAACUGGUCUGAGAGGGUGAUCAGCCACAGUGGAACUGAGACCCGGUCCAGACUCCAACGGGAGGCAGCAGUGGGGAAUAUUGGACAAUGGGGGAAAGCCUGAUCCAGCCAUGCCGCGUGUGUGAAGAAGGUCUUCGGAUUGUAAAGCACUUUUAGUUGGGAGGCGGUACCUACAGAAUAAGCACCGGCUAACUUCGUGCCAGCAGCCGCGGUAAUUC